rnacentral:rRNA from 1 species
AACGAACGCUGGCGGCAUGCCUAACACAUGCAAGUCGAACGAGACCUUCGGGUCUAGUGGCGCACGGGUGCGUAACGCGUGGGAACCUGCCCUUAGGUUCGGAAUAACUCCCCGAAAGGGGUGCUAAUACCGGAUAAUGUCUUCGGACCAAAGAUUCAUCGCCUUUGGAUGGGCCCGCGUUGGAUUAGCUAGUUGGUAGGGUAAAAGCCUACCAAGGCGACGAUGCAUAGGUGGUAUGUGAGGAAGAUCAGACACACUGGGGCGGAGACACGGCCCAGACUCCUACGGGAGGCAGCAGUGGGGAAUAUUGGACAAUGGGCGAAAGCCUGAUCCAGCAAUGCCGCGUGAGUGAUGAAGGCCUUAGGGUUGUAAAGCUCUUUUACCCGGGAUGAUAAUGACAGUACCGGGAGAAUAAGCUCCGGCUAACUCCGUG